GACGUAGGGCGCGAGCGUUGUCCGGAUUUAUUGGGCGUAAAGAGCUCGUAGGCGGCUUGUCGCGUCGACUGUGAAAACCCGUGGCUCAACCAUGUGGUCUGCAGUCGAUACGGGCAGGCUAGAAUUCGGUAGGGGAGACUGGAAUUCCUGGUGUAGCGGUGAAAUGCGCAGAUAUCAGGAAGAACACCAAUGGCGAAGGCAGCUCUCUGGGACGGUACUGACGCUGAGACGCGAAAGCGUGGGGAGCGAACAGG
rnacentral:rRNA from 1 species